GGGCAUGUAGCGCAGUUGGUAGCGCGCUCGCUUAGCAGGCCAAGGCCAAGUCCGGAUUUGAACCGGCACGGCUUACGUAAGCAACAUGCGAGAGGUCUCCGGUUCAAAUCCGGACUUGUCCA